rnacentral:lncRNA from 1 species
AAUGAUGUGUAUAAAUAACUCAUUUAUCAAAAGAAAUAUUAAUUAAUGUGAAAAAAAAUAUAUUAUUUCUCUCUACUGAUACUUCAUUAAAAUUAAAUUCAAAAGUAAAUGAUACUUCAUUAAAAUUAAAUUCGUAUUCAACCAGGAAAGAAAGAAGACGCAAAAACAGAGAAGCAAUCAUCUGUUCUUUGAGGUGCCAUUUUUAUUCUUCGAAGAAUCCCGAUGCACCUUAUAAUUCAUCGGUAAGAGCUCAUCUAUUUAUCAAUAUUUUCUUUUAAAUUUUCCUGCAAAGUCUUCGUUGUCAUGAAUAGAAACCCUAUACAUCCUUUCUACAAUAGUUCUUUAUUCACUCUAUCUAUGAUAUAUGAGAAUUUGGGUUAUUAGCCAUGAGGCAGUUCAAUGGUAGUCGCAGAAUUCGUGGAUUCAUCAGCGAAUUAUGUACCCUGGUCAUAGUUUUCUUGUUUUACAACCGGGGAGAUAUUACGAGGAACCCAGUGCUUAGGCAAUCAAACCUAAUUUCGGGCAGCGGGUUUUGUGGUGGGUCAAAUCAUAGGUCAGUAAUUCACCAUCAUCUACAUCCACUAGUACAACCACUACCCAAUUCAUAAUAAGCCGAAUUUUCGCUUACCUGUGCAGCCCAAAAAGACUCAUGGCUAGAGGCGGAGAAUAGAUCUAUAUGACCUAGAACUAUCAUCGAGGCUAGAGAGUAGCAAAGAAUGAUGAUGAUUCAGAUCUAUGACUAGCGCUAGAGAGAGGCGAAGAAGAGAUGGCCAAGAUCUACAAAUGAUUUUGGGUUUAUGGAUAGUUUUGUUUUUGAAAAUUUAAUGUAUAUAGAUGAUUUUGUUUGGUGAUAUUUUAUUUGGGGAGAAGAUGAUGAACAAUGGGUUGUGAUUUAUUUUGAUAUUAUCUUUAAUUUAUUAUAUUAUUGAAUAGAAAUUAUUGGAAUGUUUGGGUCGGG